rnacentral:rRNA from 1 species
GGACUACCCGGGUAUCUAAUCCCUUUUGCUCCCCACGCUUUCGUGCCUGAGCGUCAGUAACUGUCCAGGUAACCGCCUUCGCCUCUGGUGUUCCUCACGAUAUCUACGCAUUUCACUGCUACACCGUGAAUUCCGUUACCCUCUCCAGUACUCUAGCCAAGUAGUUUCAGGCGCAGUUCCGAGGUUAAGCCUCGGGAUUUCACACCUGACACACUUGGCCGCCUGCGCACCCUUUACGCCCAGUGAAUCCGAAUAACGCUUGCAGUCUCUGUAUUACCGCGGCUGCUGGCAC